UCUUAACGGAUGAGCAAAGAAAGUGGUUUCUUGAGAUGGAAUCUACUCCUGGUGAAGAUGCUGUGAA
rnacentral:pre_miRNA from 1 species